rnacentral:rRNA from 1 species
UACGUAGGGGGCAAGCGUUGUCCGGAAUUAUUGGGCGUAAAGAGCGUGUAGGCGGUCCGGUAAGUCGGCUGUGAAAGUCCAGGGCUCAACCCUGGGAUGCCGGUCGAUACUGCCGGACUAGAGUUCGGAAGAGGCGAGUGGAAUUCCCCGUGUAGCGGUGAAAUGCGCAGAUAUCGGGAGGAACACCUAUGGCGAAGGCAGCUCGCUGGGACGUUACUGACGCUGAGACGCGAAAGCGUGGGGAGCAAACAGG